UACGUAGGGUGCAAGCGUUUGUCCGGAAUUAUUGGGCGUAAAGAGCUUGUAGGCGGUUUGUCGCGUCUGCUGUGAAAUUUCGGGGCUCAACCCCGAACUUGCAGUGGGUACGGGGCAGACUAGAGUGUGGUAGGGGAGACUGGAAUUCCUGGUGUAGCGGUGAAAUGCGCAGAUAUCAGGAGGAACACCGAUGGCGAAGGCAGGUCUCUGGGCCAUAACUGACGUGAGAAGCGAAAGCAUGGGGGAGCGAACAGG
rnacentral:rRNA from 1 species